GCGGAAAAGUAAAUAAAAGAAAACACACCUGGAGCUCGAGCGCGUGGUGUGGAAAAAACAGCAGCAGCAGCAGAAAACAUGAGGCCGAGUCUAAGAUCGCUGUUUGAACAAAUUGUGAAUUCGCCCAUCCAACAGUCAGAAGAACAUUCAAGCUCCAAUGAGGAAAAUGACAAUAAUGGAUCUGUCAAGUCAGUGGGUCAUGUACCCGGAAAUCUAGCUGCUAUGGUGGUAAGUGAGCCGCAAUUCUUUCUGUCCCUCUUGCUCGAGAUCUCCCUGUUUUAACCCCUUUUUUUAGAAGUGCAAUAUUAUAAAAUAACUUGAUUAACGAGAUUCUCUGUGU